rnacentral:rRNA from 1 species
UACGUAGGGUCCGAGCGUUGUCCGGAGUUACUGGGCGUAAAGCGCGCGCAGGCGGCGGUGUUGGCCCGGCGUGAAAGCCCCCGGCUCAACCGGGGAGAGUCGUCGGGGACCGCACCGCUUGAGGGCGGUAGGGGCUGGUGGAAUGCCUGGUGUAGUGGUGAAAUGCGUAGAGAUCAGGCAGAACACCGGUGGCGAAGGCGACAUCCUGGACCGGUAUUGACGCUGAGGCGCGAAAGCCAGGGGAGCAAACGGG